rnacentral:rRNA from 1 species
AUUGAACGCUAGCGGGAUGCUUUACACAUGCAAGUCGAACGGCAGCGCGGACUUCGGUCUGGCGGCGAGUGGCGAACAGGUGAGUAAUGUAUCGGAACGUGCCCAGUAGCGGGGGAUAACUACGCGAAAGCGUAGCUAAUACCGCAUACGCCCUACGGGGGAAAGCAGGGGAUCGUAAGACCUUGCACUAUUGGAGCGGCCGAUAUCGGAUUAGCUAGUUGGUGAGGUAACGGCUCACCAAGGCGACGAUCCGUAGCUGGUUUGAGAGGACGACCAGCCACACUGGGACUGAGACACGGCCCAGACUCCUACGGGAGGCAGCAGUGGGGAAUUUUGGACAAUGGGGGCAACCCUGAUCCAGCCAUCCCGCGUGUGCGAUGAAGGCCUUCGGGUUGUAAAGCACUUUUGGCAGGAAAGAAACGUCGCGGGCUAAUACCCCGUGGAACUGACGGUACCUGCAGAAUAAGCACCGGCUAACUACGUG